rnacentral:tRNA from 1 species
GGGGCCGUGGUCUAGCUUGGUUAUGAUACGCGGCUUGGGCCCGCGUGGUCCCCGGUUCAAAUCCGGGCGGCCCCA